rnacentral:rRNA from 1 species
UACAGAGGGUGCUAGCGUUGUUCGGAAUUACUGGGCGUAAAGGGCGCGUAGGCGGCCGCCUAAGUCAGACGUGAAAUCCCUCGGCUCAACCGGGGAACUGCGUCUGAUACUGGGUGGCUUGAAUCCGGGAGAGGGAUGCGGAAUUCCAGGUGUAGCGGUGAAAUGCGUAGAUAUCUGGAGGAACACCGGUGGCGAAGGCGGCAUCCUGGACCGGCAUUGACGCUGAGGCGCGAAAGCCAGGGGAGCAAACGGG